rnacentral:lncRNA from 1 species
AUACAUUGAAAAUUUAUUCACUCACCAGAUUGUUAAUUUCUAGAUUCAACGAGAAACUUUUAAGGAUUUUAGAAAUUAUGGAUAACUUGUCAAUCUCUAACUGCUGAUCUAUCCAUUAUUGACGCUGUUUUGAAACAAUCCGCACUAUUUUCUUUUUUUCAAAAAAAAGUAAAUCAAGCCUAGCUUGCUUCAGGGCGUCGUUGCUUGUCCUUUCUUUGAUUAAAAAAUUUUUCACUUUACCCUCCUAUGAUUUAAUUUUUAUUUUAUCAAAAAACUCCUUAUAGAAUAGGGUGGCAAAGUAGAAAUUAUUAAGAAAUUAUAGGACGACAAAAUAAAAAAUGUGCUAAAUCACAAGAAGACUAAGUGAAACUUUUUAAACCAUAGAAUAAUAAUUGGCAGAGUAAAAAUGAGUUAAACUAUAGAGGAGCAAAAUAAAACUUUUUGAGCAAAGGGUGGCAAAGUGAAAAUGAGUUAUACCAUAGAAGGGGCAAUUUGAAGUUUGCCUUUUUUUUUUUUUUUUUAAAGCAAAGUUGAAUUAGGCUCAGUUUGAGAUUGCCGGGCAAAAUGCCUCAAGUACAGUAAGAAAGUGCAAUAAGAAAAUAUUCCUUUUGUCUGCGUAAUAAUAUUAGAGUAAACUUCAAAUACCACUUAUAUAGUUUUGCACUUUUUUAUUUUAGUACCUUAUAGUUUAAAGUAUAUCACUUUACUACAUGUGGUUUUAUUUUUCUCUUCUAGUCAGCACCUCUAACUCUCCGUUAAAUCAUAUACAAAAACUUCAAAUACUCAUAUAUAAUUUAUUAAAUAUUCACUUUAGUAUUCUAUGAUUUACCGAAUUUUUUACUUUAGUACUCUGUGGUUUAACUUUAUCAUUGAGAUAAUGAAAAAAUUAACGAAAGAAAUAAAAAAAAAAUAAAAUAAAAUCACAAAAUAUUAAAUUGUUAUAUUUUAAAUCACACAUGGUGAAAAUGAGAAAGCGCGAAACCACAUGGAGCCGUCUACUG